GGUUGGAAAAACACGGGUCGAGGGUUGCCUGGAACGCCUUAUUAUUUUCCGACGAUGGAAGGCGGAAGAGAUGACGCAUAUUGGGAAAUUCUAUAGUCGAGAUUACACAUGGGGGAAAUCUGACGAUGGAUAUUAAACAGGUUUGUCACUGCCAGUGUAGCCAAAUUAGCGUCUAGCCAAAAAAGCGACUUAUUUACUUAUUUAGUCUGAAACUCUUUAGAAACUCUCUCUCCCUUUCUCUCUCUCUCUCUCCCAGCGCGCGCACGCCUCUCUCUGCAUAUGAUCUGUUCACGAGCGCAGAGAGGAGCGGCACUUUCAGUUUAAAAUAAAAUAUAUCCUGUUGCUUUAACUCUAUUUUACAUUUUAUCAUGGAGAGAUUCAGAAGACUAACAGAUGAGGGAUCUAAUGUUUCUGGACCAGAUCAGACAUGAACUCCUCAAAAACAACACACUGCACGCUGGUAAACCUCUUCUGGAGGAGAUGACUUCUAGAUUAGUUUAUAAUAUAUAAAAAAAACUAUUUAUUAUAUAAAAAUUCAAUUAAAAUAAAUGAUACAGUACAUACUGUAUGUAUACACACUACCACAAUACUGUUCACUGUUUGUUUGAGUACGUCAUAAACUAACUGGAUGGUUUUCUCUGUACAUUACUGCUGUAUGGACAUCACCUUGACAUAGUCACCACUGAUUACUCCUAAAUGUGAUGAUAAAAUGUACAUUUCCAGUGAAGCUGCUUUGCAAAUAUUUGUAUCAUGUAAAUAGACAGAUAAAUGUGAAAUGAAUUGAUGUGUCUGAUUCUGGAUCUUUUAUAUAUUGGUUACAUUAUGCAUAAUCAGUUUCAUGAGGAAAUUGGUUUUAGAGAUGAGGAAAGUUUUGACAAUGCUUAACUAUUUCCAUUUGCACACAACCUGUGAUCAGUCAUUACUCUGUCUCGAAUGUCACAAGAUUCCCAUAAUGCUGAUUUGUUUGUGUGUUGUUGUGUGUAUUAGAUUUCCCACAGUGUUUUUAUGCCCUGUCUAUAUAUCCCCUUUCCUUGUGUAUUAUUGUUUGUUGUCUUGUUUGCCUUCUCUUUGGUGUUUAGUUAGUUUGUUCACAAUCAGUUUUUGUUCAGUUUUCUUGGAUAUUCUUGAUUUAUCUUAUCUAAAUAGUUGAUCUACAUUUAUAAAUCAAGCAUCCCCUUGUUUCUUAGUUCACCAUGACUGACACAGACUGACACAUGACGUAAGGUAGUGCUCAACAGACUGAGGAGUGUUUGUCUGUAAAGGAUCAUUGUGUUUGAAAGUGAUGCAAUCUAAAUUAACUCUUUUCACACAGAACGGUCUGUUAUCCCAAUGAGUCUGUCAUUAAUGACUCACGCUUGUGUUGUUUCAAACCCGUGAGACCUUCGUUCAUCUUCAGAACACAAUUUGAGAUAUUUCUGAUUAAAUCUUAUCAUAGACAGCAAAGGUAACUACCACGUUCAAGGUCCAGAGAAGAUGAUUGAUAAAUCAGUCCGUGUGACAUCAGUGGUUCAACUGUGAAGUUACAAAGCUACAAGAAUACUUUUUUUGCAUAAAGAAAACCAAAAUAAUGACUUUAUUCCACCAUUGUACGCACAAUCUUCUGCUGACUGAGUAUUACAAAGAUAAUAUUACACAGGUUCUGGUAUACACAUGGCUUUAUGAAUCAGAAACUUUAGUACAGAAGCAAAAUGUAGCUCUUGUGCAUACAAACACAUUCAGGAUGAAAUCUUAAGAAGUUUUAUACACGAGUCCCCAGGAAUAAAAUGACUCGACUGUUUGUGUCUCAUUAUUGACUGAACGUCCUGUUAAUAAAUCCAGCUUUUGAUCGUCUCUCAAAACAGAAAAUUUAAAUCUGUAUUUAUUGUCAGAUUCGAUGACCUUGUGAGCUGUAAACAUAAUAUACAGUAAAAAUAAAUAAAUAAAUACAUAUGAUUAAAUGCUAACUAGAAGAUUUAGAUGUAUUCAUUUAGCAGGUGAUCUUAUCCACUUACAAACAUCAUACAAUGUCAGGUUUAUUAGAAAGAUAGAUUAGGAGACAAACCAGAGCGGAGGAGAAAUACAACACGUUUUUUUUUUGUAGCAAAUUUUUGUCAUUUAACUUUUGUGAAAAUGUUUUCAGAAAUUUUCAGAAAUUGUCAGAGAGGUGCUUAGUGUUUUUAUAGCAUCUAACAUUAAUUUCUGUAUUUAUACCUUGUUUUUUUUGGAAUGAUGUACUACUUUCAAUAAUUCAAUCAUUUUAAUUGAUAUAAAAAUCGAAACUGUUUAUGCCUUUAGAUCAAUCUAAUUAUUAUACAUCGUGACAGGAGAAAGGUUGUGGAACAGAAACUGAGCGUCAUGUGUUAAGUGUUUGAUUUCAGUCAUGAGUGUGAGAGAGGAUGUGGGAUUGAAGUUUCUCUUUAAAAGGUUCAUGUUCAUGAUGAUUCCUCUUAUUGGCUCAACACAAGAAACAGAACAAAGGCAGAAUUUACAAGACAGUAUGGCAUGGGAGAGCAAAUAUGGAGAAACAAGAACUGCAGGAUAAUUAAACCGAUAGGAAAGAAAGAGAAACAUGGGGAACAUGACACCGAAGACACCGAGUCUACUCAGACAAAACAGCAUUAACAGCGGCAAACCAAACUUUUCUCAUGUUGGUGUUUGGUGGUCUCGUUCUGGUGUUUCAGAGAGAGUCACAGACGAGAAAGCAGUGGUUCUGUUCAACUAACCAGCGGAAUAUUCUCCAACAUGUUCAUCACUGAUUAAACAAUAUAUAUGUGAAUAUGUAUAAAUGGGUAUUAUAUUUAGAAAGUACAUGUUUGGAUUUAAUUUUCAACACUACACUUUGUUCUGAAUGAAUCUGAUCUGAAUGUGAUGUUUAAAGUAAUUAUUGAUGUAA